rnacentral:lncRNA from 1 species
AUGAGAGAAAUAAACACAAAGGCGAGAUCGGCCAGCUCCUCAAUGGGUUCUUCAUUCUGGACAUGGAGAUCACCACUCCCUUACCUUUUUGGAAGUUUGGCGUUAAUGUUGGUACUCAUUGUGAUUGCACUCAUCGUCCUCGCUUGUUCCUUCCAUAAACGUCUUUCCUCCGCCACCACCUCGUCGGAGAAACACCCGAGUACAUCUGCCUAGAGCUUUGUAACAGAAAGUAGAGAGAGAGAGUUAUGAGAGAAAUAAAUACAAAGGCAACAGCGGCCAGCUCCUCAAUGGGUUCUUCAUUCUGGACAUGGAGAUCACCACUUCCGUACCUUUUUGGAAGUUUGGCCAUAAUGUUGGUACUCAUUGUGAUUGCACUCAUCGUCCUCGCUUGUUCCUUUCAUAAACGCCUUUCCUCCUCCACCACCUCGUCGGAGAAAUCUGCAUGUCCGGCGACCAACAAAAUUGUGGAAAUGUCUCCGAGAGUCGUCGUAAUCAU